GGGAGUUGAUGUACGCAGAGCACGGAUCUAACAAUGUCAACUGUGCUGACAUCAUCCUAGCUGUGCAGGGCUGAUGGGAAUUCAGAAUAUCAAACAUCAUAUCAAGGGCAGUGAGCAGGUGUGACUCAUUUCCCUGGAGAAGUGGGAGAGAGGAAGGGAGAGGGCAGGAUUAUCUCACACUGACACACACACAGCCUUUAGACUGAGCUAUUUGCGUGGCUUAUUUAAAAGCAGCAAAACAAUGUUCUGUCUCUCUCUUCAUUUUUCUACCGGAAACACUUUAUAUUCUAGUCCUAUGUGUCUCAGCAUAGAAUCGAGCCUUUCAACAUCAUAGUGUAUUAAAAUACACAUUAUUUAGGAUCAUUACUUUUUAUGUUACAUAAACCCAACUAUGAGAACAAUUCAAACAAAUAAAUUUUAUGUUUUUAUUUUCUCUUCAGGUAUCAUCUAGUGAACUGUUCAGAUGCAACUGAAUUGAAAAGGAGCUGAACAAAAGAUCCUGAGAGAGGUCUGAUGAGACUGCUUUGACUUCAACAAAAAGUAAAAUGGAUUUUAUCAUACUUGAAAAAUCAACAAUUGCAGUCUGGAUUCAUACAUCACUGUCUGAUGCACCCAACUUGAGUCAAAAAGAUGUUUCAAAUCCCACUAGGCUGGAGGCAAAAAUACUCAAGAGUUUAAGAGCGUCUCUUGACAGUGUACAGAAUAAGAUAGCUUCUCAGCUUUCAGCUUUACUUCACGGUUUUAACUAUCAAAAGAAGCAAGCCAUCUGAAGAUUUGCCUGAGACUGAAGGAUCCACUUCUGCGACGACUCCCUCAGGACUUAUAAUGCAGAUGGAACCAGAUUGAGAAAAACCAGCCAACCAACCAACCAACAUGAUGGCUGAACCAGACAAGAGAAGUCCCGAAGUAAAAUACCCACCAAUUACCAGAAUCUGUGCCUGCCAUACAUCGAAGAAUCUUGCUCUGUCGCUCAAGCUGGAGUGCAGUGGUGUGAUCUCAGCUCACUGUAAGUUCUGCUGCCCAAGUUGAAGCGAUUCUUCCACCUCAGCAUCCUGAGCAGCUGGGACUACAGGUACACACCACUGCACCUGGCUAAUCUUUAUAUUUUUAGUAGAAGUGGGAUAUCACCAUGUUGGCCAGGCUGGUCUUGAACUCCUGACUUCAAGUGAUCUGCCUGUCUUGGCCUCCCAUACUGCUGGGAUUACAAGUGUGAACCACCAUGCUGGCCUGUGACAUUUUAAUCUAGUCAAUCAGUCUUGGAAAAUAAAGCCUUGCUUUCUGUGGCACCUAAACCAACUGAUAUGGUUUGGCUCUGUGUCCCCACCCAAAUCUCUUCUUGAAUUGUAAUCCCCAUAAUCCCCACGUAUUGAGGGAGGACCUAUAGGGAAGUGAUUGGAUCCUGGGGGCCAUUCCCGCACGCUGUUCUUGUGAUAGUGAAGGAGUUCUCAUGAGAGCUGAUGGUUUUAUAAGUGUUUGGAAGAUACCCCUUCACGGCACUCUCCCUCCUGCUGUCUUGUGAAGAAGGUGCCUUGUUCCCCUUCACCUUCCACCAUGAUUGUAAGUUUCCUGAGGCCUCUCCAGCCAUGUGGAAUGGUGAGUCAAUUAAACCUCUUUCUUUUAAAAAUUACCCAGUCUCAGGUAUUUCUUUAUAGCAGUGCAAAAACUGACUAAUACACCAACCUCUUUGAUAUCAGUUUCAUGUCAAGAAUAAGAAAAAUAAGGAAGAAAAUUGGGAGAUCGACAUAUUGAAAUUUAAAGAAUAGAAUUGGGUUUGAAAAAAAUGUUUUAG
rnacentral:lncRNA from 1 species